UACGAAGGGGGCUAGCGUUGCUCGGAAUCACUGGGCGUAAAGGGUGCGUAGGCGGGUCUUUAAGUCAGGGGUGAAAUCCUGGAGCUCAACUCCAGAACUGCCUUUGAUACUGAGAGGCUUGAGUCCGGGAGAGGUGAGUGGAACUGCGAGCGUAGAGGUGAAAUUCGUAGAUAUUCGCAAGAACACCAGUGGCGAAGGCGACUCUUUGGCCUGUAACUGACGCUGAGGCGCGAAAGCGUGGGGAGCAAACAGG
rnacentral:rRNA from 1 species